UGAGGAAUAUUGGUCAAUGGGCGAGAGCCUGAACCAGCCAAGUAGCGUGAAGGAUGACGGCCCUAUGGGUUGUAAACUCCUUUUGUCGGGGAAUAACAAGCGCCACGUGUGGCGCCCUGCAUCUACCCGGUGAAUAAGGACCGGCUAAUUCCGUGCCAGCAGCCGCGGUAAUACGGAAGGUCCGAGCGUUAUCCGGAUUUAUUGGGUUUAAAGGGAGCGUAGGCGGAAUUGUAAGUCAGCCGGUAAAUAGCGGGGCUCAACCCCGUAGUGCGGUUGAAACUGUAGUUCUUGAGUGCACAAGAGGUAGGUGGAAUUCGUGGUGUAGCGGUGAAAUGCUUAGAUAUCACGAAGAACUCCGAUUGCGAAGGCAGCUUACUGGUGUGUUACUGACGCUGAUGCUCGAAGGUGCGGGUAUCAAACAGG
rnacentral:rRNA from 2 species